GCCGCUGUGGCCUAGUGGUAAGGCGUGUGACUUCUAAUCUCAAGAUCGCGGGUUCGAAUCCCGCCAGUGGUU
rfam:TPA: Aspergillus nidulans FGSC A4 chromosome VII